UUUGAGCAAAACGUCCGAGUGCGCAUGCGUGGAACAUUCGCUCACUGGUGGUGUAGCUAACGGCUAGGCUACGAAUCCAGCCGACAUGGAGAGGAAAGUUCUGGCAAUCCAGGCUAGGAAGAAGAGGGCGAAAGGAAAGAAGACCAGCAAAAAGCAGCCAGCCAAUCCCAGAUCUCGACAGCCACCCCAGCUGGAAGCCUCGCCUCAGGAACCGGAGGAACCUGAAGAGAUUCUCGGCUCUGAUGAUGAGGAGCAGGAGGACCCCAACGACUACUGCAAAGGUGGCUACCACCAUGUGAAGGUGGGAGACCUUUACAAUGGAAAAUACCAUGUAAUCCGGAAACUUGGCUGGGGGCACUUCUCCACCGUGUGGCUCGCCUGGGACAUCCAGGUGAAGAGGUUUGUUGCAAUGAAAGUGGUGAAGAGCGCAGAGCACUACACGGAGACGGCAGUAGACGAGAUCAAACUCCUUAGAUCUGUUAGAAACUCAGACCCCAAUGAUCCCAACCGUGAGAUGGUGGUCCAGCUGCUAGACGACUUCAAGAUCUCUGGUGUCAAUGGAACUCAUGUCUGCAUGGUGUUUGAGGUGUUGGGACAUCACUUAUUAAAAUGGAUAAUAAAGUCCAAUUACCAAGGACUGCCCCUGCCUUGUGUGAAGAGCAUCAUAAGACAGGUUCUCCAAGGCCUGGACUACCUGCACACAAAAUGUCAGAUCAUCCACACAGACAUCAAGCCAGAGAAUAUCCUGAUGAGUGUCGAUGAACCUUAUGUCCGGAAGCUUGCAGCUGAAGCCACAGAGUGGCAGAGGGCUGGGGCGCCUCCUCCCUCUGGUUCAGCAAUAAGUACAGCGCCGGCUCCAAAACAGACCGUAAAAAUGUCCAAGAACAAGAAGAAGAAGUUAAAAAAGAAGCAAAAGCGUCAAGCGGAGCUGCUGGAAAAGUGUAUCUUGGACUUGGAGGAGAUGGAAAAGACCACAGAGCCACGAGAGGAGGAUGAUGAAGAUGACGAACCACAAUCUCCAAAGGGACGGGCCUGUGCUCCUCUCAGACAGGUGUCUCUCCAGGAGCUAGGAAAUGAGGAGACAGAGGAGAACAGUGUGAAUGCAGAUCUCCUGAGGGUGGGACCAGAGGAGCUGUUGGAGGUGAACUGUAACGGCCAUGUGGAGGUGGAGCAGACACAGUCUCAAUGGAGGGACGAAGACCAACACAAUGGCAACGCAGAGUCGACAGAGAAAUGUACCACUCCAGAGGAGCAACACAAGGAGUCCCCCGUCCACUCCAUGUGCAACGGUGUAGACUCCACAGAUUUCAAUGAGCUGGACUCUGAGACUGAAGGCCUGGGGGCUCACAGCAGUGGAGUCACUGAGAGACACCUUCCUGCCGGGCUGGAGGAGGGAGAGCUGGAACAAAGCAUUUUGCAGGAAGAGGGAGAGGACGAAGCCGACUGUCCUUAUGGAACCCAAGAAAGCCUGAGAAAUGACAAACUAACAGCAGGAUCCUUGCUAGUUAACCCCCUUGAGCCACUCAAUUCAGACAAGAUCAAGGUCAAGAUUGCUGAUUUGGGAAACGCCUGCUGGGUGCACAAGCACUUUACUGAAGACAUCCAGACACGACAGUACCGGUCUUUAGAGGUGCUCAUCGGUGCUGGAUACAGCACACCAGCUGAUAUAUGGAGCACAGCCUGCAUGGCUUUCGAGCUUGCUACAGGGGACUACUUAUUUGAACCACAUUCUGGUGAAGAUUAUUCCAGGGAUGAAGACCAUCUUGCUCUCAUGAUUGAAUUGCUCGGUAAAAUCCCUCGUCACUAUGCUCUGAGUGGGAAAUACUCACAGGAAUACUUCACCAAGAGAGGUACGCCACCCCUCUGUCUGUGGCUCGCUCUGGGGAAGGUGGACGGAAGGACGACGGAAGAAGGUUUCCGUCGGCAGGCUCAAACCUAGCAGAGUUGUUGGUGUGUACAGACCAGUUGGCGUAAUAAUCAACACAGAGCAAUAAAUGUCCUAAUAUUUCAAAGUAAAGCACCUCUGUUACUUUAAACAGAACCAUCAGACGUUGAUUCAGUGUCAGUAGUUGCGCCACAGAUCGCCAGGCUCAGAUUCAUACAGUCUCUCUUAGUUGAGGAUGACUUGGCUUGGCACUUGAUAGUUUAUUGAUCCCUGUCGAGGUGAUUCUCAUGAUCUUUGUCCUCCACGGGGAGAGUUCAGCAACAGCUGUCUGAUUUUAUCUAAUACAUUUAACUCUUAUAGAAUUAUUAGAUGAAAGAACAAAAAACCAGAGAAAAUGUCAACUUCUGUUGUAACUUUCCGGUUUAUUUACAGAUCUUGAGUGUACGUAUGUGAUAUGCCUCAUCAGGGACCUCAAAAAGUACAAGUCUUAAUGUUUACAACAAUAUGAUAAUUGAUGUAUAACACUCAUUAUUCCAAAAUAACAAAUUUAUCCAUAGGGGAUUAACUAUGACAUGGAGUCUUGAUAUUAUCACCUUUGUGAUGGUUCAGCAUACUGAGUGGGAUUUGUUGUUUUCAUACGUUUCGAGGGUGAUUCAAAUGUCAGGACUUCCAUAUUUACACAUAAUAAAAGUGUGAAAAAGGAUUAAAUUGUAGUAUGAAUAACUUCAAUGCAUGUAAACAGUUAUAUAAACAUGACAAAUACUUCUAAUUUACAAACAUUUGCCACAAAUCAGUGGGAUUUAUGUGCAUUUUAUUCUUUUAGUGAUUCCAAUUGCCGCUAUUUUUAAAAGUAGCACAUUUUCUCACAUUGAUGUUGUUGCCUUCGUUUGUUCACAUAAAAGGUGCCACAAAUAGUUGAGAAAGAGGUGGUCAGUGUCUGGCUUCAGCCUAUAAACAGCUGACCAAUGACCGUAUAAUGCUGGAGUUCUUUCUUUCUAGUAUGAAUUUUAUUUGUGCCCAUCCACUGAUUCUUGAUUCAGAGCUGGAACACAUCAUAAAACUCUCCAGCUCUUGUAAUGUCUGGUGGCCCUGUUUGCUAAUUUUCUAACCACUGGUCUGUGCACUCGUCCUCUGCAACAAUCAGGCCCAUGUUUGCGUGCCAUCGGCCCGACUCUUGGUUCCCUCAGCCCUCCUCCCACACACCCAGAGCAGGCCUGUGACCGGGACACUGUCUGAUGAAUCUGUUGUUUGUCUUGUCUGUCUCCUCCUCUCCUCUUGCGACCGUCUGCUGUGUAGACCAUAUAGCGCUGAUCAUUGAGCUGCUGGGGAGUGUCCCACGCAAACUCAUAAUGACUGGCAAAUAUUCCAAGGAUUUUUUCACCAAGAAAGGUGAUUUGAAACACAUCACCAAGCUGAAGCCGUGGGGCCUGCUGGAGGUGCUGAUUG